AGCAGCCGCGGUAAUUCCAGCUCCAACAGCGUAUAUUAAAGUUGUUGCAGUUAAAAAGCUCGUAGUUGAAUUUCGGGAUCAAAUUGUCGGUCGUGCCUCGGUACGCACUGGUAUUAUUGGUUCCUACCUUCUGAAGAACCGCGAUGUCAUUAAUUUGGUGUCGUGGGGAAUCAGGACUGUUACUUUGAAAAAAUUAGAGUGUUUAAAGCAGGCUUACGCUUGAAUACAUUAGCAUGGAAUAAUGAAAUAGGACGUUUGAUUCUAUUUUGUUGGUUUCUAGGAUCGACGUAAUGAUUAAUAGGGAUAGUUGGGGGCAUUAGUAUUCAAUUGUCAGAGGUGAAAUUCUUGGAUUUAUUGAAGACUAACUACUGCGAAAGCAUUUGCCAAGGAUGUUUUCAUUAAUCAAGAACGAAAGUUAGGGGAUCGAAGACGAUCAGAUACCGUCGUAGUCUUAACCAUAAACUAUGCCGACUAGGGAUCGGAUGAUGUUAAUUUUUUAAUGACUCAUUCGGCGCCUUAC
rnacentral:rRNA from 1 species